rnacentral:RNase_P_RNA from 1 species
GUACUCAGACAAAUGAUCGCGGCUGCAGGGCAUUUAGCUCUGCAGGUGAGGAAAGUCCGGGCUUCAUAGGGCAGGAUGCCGGAUAACGUCCGGUGGAGGCGACUCCCAGGCUAGUGCAACAGAAAUAUACCGCCAGCAUUACGCUGGUAAGGGUGGAAUGGCGAGGUAAGAGCUCACCGCUGUCCUGGUAACAGGGCAGGCUCUGUAAACCCCAUCCGAAGCAAGACCGAACAGGGAACCAUGUGGCUGCCCGUCACGUUCCCGGGUAGGUCGCUUGAGCCUGUCGGUAACGGCAGGCCUAGAUAGAUGAUCAUUCAACGACAUAACCCGGCUUAUCGGCUGAGUCAACAA